rnacentral:pre_miRNA from 1 species
ACUCACUUCAUAUCCAACGUUUGUUUUGUUCGUCUUAUUUAAAUUUUUUUAAUUAACAUUAUAAUUGUUACUAGAUUAUAAUAAUAUAUGAAUAGUAUUUUAUAUAUGAUUUUUUUAUUUUUUAUAAAUUUUUUAAAUAAUAUGGACGGUCAAAUGUUAGACACGGAUGUCCACGACUGUAUUUAAA